GAUGAACGCUGGCGGUAUGCCUAACACAUGCAAGUCGAACGGGCUCUUCGGAGCUAGUGGCGGACGGGUGAGUAACGCGUGAGAAUCUGCCUUCAGGAUGGGGAUAACAGGGAGAAAUCGCUGCUAAAACCCAAUGUGCCGAAAGGUGAAAUACUUGUGGCCAGAAGAGGAGCUCGCGUCCGAUUAGUUAGUUGGUGGGGUAAGAGCCUACCAAGGCAGCGAUCGGUAGCUGGUCUGAGAGGAUGAGCAGCCACACUGGGACUGAGACACGGCCCAGACUCCUACGGGAGGCAGCAGUGGGGAAUUUUCCGCAAUGGGCGAAAGCCUGACGGAGCAAUACCGCGUGAGGGAGGAAGGCUUUUGGGUUGUGAACCUCUUUUGUUAAGGAAGAAGAAAGUGACGGUACUUAAAGAAUAAGCAUCGGCUAACUCCGUGCCAGCCGCCGCGGUAA
rnacentral:rRNA from 1 species